rnacentral:rRNA from 1 species
GACGAACGCUGGCGGCGUGCUUAACACAUGCAAGUCGAACGGAAAGGCCCUGCUUUUGUGGGGUGCUCGAGUGGCGAACGGGUGAGUAACACGUGAGUAACCUGCCCUUGACUUUGGGAUAACUUCAGGAAACUGGGGCUAAUACCGGAUAGGAGCUCCUGCUGCAUGGUGGGGGUUGGAAAGUUUCGGCGGUUGGGGAUGGACUCGCGGCUUAUCAGCUUGUUGGUGGGGUAGUGGCUUACCAAGGCAUUGACGGGUCGCCGGCCUGAGAGGGUGACCGGCCACAAUGGGACUGAGAGACGGCGCAGACGCCUACGGGGGGCAGCAGGGGGGAAUAUUGCACAACGGGCGGAAGCCUGAGGCAGCAACGCCGCGUGCGGGAUGACGGCCUUCGGGUUGUAAACCGCUUUCGCCUGUGACGAAGCGGGAGUGACGGUAAUGGGUAAAGAAGCACCGGCUAACUACGUG